CCUACGGGAGGCAGCAGUGGGGAAUAUUGCACAAUGGGGGGAACCCUGAUGCAGCGACGCCGCGUGAGCGAGGAAGUAUUUCGGUAUGUAAAGCUCUAUCAGCAGGGACGAAAAAAGACGGUACCUGACUAAGAAGCCCCGGCUAACUACGUGCCAGCAGCCGCGGUAAUACGUAGGGGGCAAGCGUUAUCCGGAUUUACUGGGUGUAAAGGGAGCGUAGACGGCAAGGCAAGCCAGAAGUGAAAGGGCAGGGCUCAACCCUGUACAUGCUUUUGGAACUGGGGUGCUGGAGUGCAGGAGGGGUAAGUGGAAUUCCUAGUGUAGCGGUGAAAUGCGUAGAUAUUAGGAGGAACACCAGUGGCGAAGGCGGCUUACUGGACUGUAACUGACGUUGAGGCUCGAAAGCGUGGGGAGCAAACAGGAUUAGAUACCCUAGUAGUC
rnacentral:rRNA from 1 species